AAGGGAGAGAGAGAAGGAGAGGGAGAGAAAGAGGGGAAACGAUUUUCGAACAAGUGGAGAACGAUACGGAUAUAGGUAUACCGCGAUGUACGAUGUAUCAAAUAAUACCAGUACAUGUGUUUGCGUAUACUAUACGCCGUAUCAACCGACAACCAUUAAAAGAAACCUGCUCAUGAUCAUCGUCAUCUACUUGAUGACAAAUACAUGUACACCUUAUAGGCGUUCGUUUAUAUCUUUUAUUCUAUCUGCCCAUUUCUCUUGUGAAAUACAAGUACAAGCGCCAGGCUGCAGCACUCUCACCGCUAAUUCUUUUACCGAUUCUCAUACGGAAGAACGACUGCAGAAGAAUCUUUAUCUUUUUGAAGGUUUUUUUUUUCUUCUCGCUCCUGAUCUCUUCCGUCGUUGACAAUUUUCUUAUUCUCUGACGAUGAUGUAAAAGAACUCAAUCCGCGAAGAAUAUUGACAGAAUAUUGUCCGCAAUUAUUCCAGGUAAAUUAGUAUGCCACGAAUUUUGACGAUCUGAAAAUGGAAGCGGUACAGUACCUACGUAUACGUGUCAUGUAAAAUAAAAUAUAUGUAACGUGGGUUGGAACCUGACCUUAUCUCUCACUGAUAUACGUACAUACUAUACAAUAAGUAUAUACAUAUACACCUACGAUGUACAUAUGAUACGGUAAUAUGUAGGUAUGUAUAUUACAUAAUUCUAUAUAUACACAGGUAUAUUCGACACGGUGGACUUCGGAAAUAAAAGGUUGUUCUCUCUCUCUGCUUUAGUUGGUACGGUUUUUAUCGCGUUUACGAUACACGCGAGACGUUGGUGUGCACAUACGUUACACAUACACAUAGAAAUGGCAUGUCUUAUCGCGUGGGCUUUGCACGGCGUAUGAGCUGUUAAGCGACACUUUGCAGCUGACUGAGAAAUUCAAUCUUCCCAUAAAUAGGGUUGUCGCUUUCCUUGUGCUUUUUCUUAUUUUUCCCCCCCAUAUUUUUGUAUCGUUUCAAUUUUUUAUUUCCAGCCGCAAUGUAGUUUCGCAGGAGUAAAAUCAGUAACACGAGUAUAACGAGAACCUGGAAAUGCAGAUUGUCACUGUACAAACUGCACCUGGUGCAUGUAACUCGGAGUCGAGUAUUUGAAUAGUUCCUGUUUUAGUUAUUAUUAUUUUUCUAUGACAUUUUCUAAUUUCGAUACGCCGCCAGGUAUGAGCGUACGUUGGUCUGGAAUUCUGCACGACGAUGACCAGGUCACCAGGUGACUAAAUAAGAUUGGUUAUUUGAGAGAAGGAGACUCCGAUGCGUGGUGAUUAGCAUCUCCUUAAAAUUCGUCGGGUGCCGCUCGCCUGAAGACUCUAUACUUAUACGGGGUACGGAGUAUACUAUACACGGCGAACGAGUAAGUAGAAUGAUGCAGCGGAGCGGAUAUACCAGAAAUCCUCCAAGGAAGGAAGAAAGAAUACACGCGUGUACCGAAAAAAGAAAAUUAUAGCUGCGCACGAAACGCUCGCUGUCUGAAUCAUUUUUGAAAAUAUUAUCCGCGCCUCCAAAAACCUUACGCAUGCAUACACGAAACAUGUAAAUAGGUAGAAAACAUAAGGAUGGGGUAAAAAAGAGUUUAUGAAAGCUUUUUGUCCCCAAGAUACAAAAAAAAUCUAUACUCUUCGUACUUUUUGGAAAAAUUUUUUCGUAAAAUUCUCCACCGUUGAAAGAUAGACAAGGAUCAAUUCUAGAUGAGUGCCUGAUUUUAGGCAGUCGGUGGGAGAUACUCGGACGUGUCGACUGGGGCGCAUAUAGUUAGGCAUAUUCAAGGGAUGAGAAAUCAGUUUGUCAAAAAUUCCUGAGUCAGGGAUUCGUUAUCUCACCAAUUGUGAAAAUAUUUCUUCUCUCGCAUUGAUGGUUGAUUUACGACUUCUUUAUUCUUCAUUGAGCAUUUCGAAUCUCUUAAUUCUUGCAAUCGCAAAUUUACCGUUAAAUUUCACUUCUAACUAUCGUUAGCCCUGUGAACCAGUUGCGUUGAAAAAAGUCAAGUAAUAUUCAGUACGAUAUCAGGUAAUAUUGAGGUGUAAAUUGACACGGUUCUCCGGUUUGCAUUUUAUGAGAUGAAGAUGAGUUGUAUCGACAGUCGGUCCCGAGUAAAAUUCGUCGUAGGAGAUCCCUGACUUACCAAUAUAUCUACUGUUGACUGAAACGACUUGUAUCGGAAUGAAUGCUCAAAUAUCUUCAUUAAUCCAUACAGUUGUAUGAACAAUUAUAACUGACAACAAAUCAGGGUUGAGGUUUUGUUCAUUGGUGAAUAAGUCAUGAAUCAUUGAUUAUCAUUGAAUCACUUUAUUGUCACACGCCAUUUGUGGCAUUGGGGGUAUGUUUUUUAUCCAUCUUUUUAUCUGUUAUAUUAUAUUAUACUGGAUACAGUCACUAAUGCUUUAUAUUAAUCGCCCGGUGUAUUUCUAACGCUGGUGUAGCCUUUUCUAUGUAUAAAUAUACAUGUAUAAUAUUUACAUGUUCAACACACACAUAUAUAUGUAUACAUAAAUCUC